GAUGAAUGCUGGCGGCGUGUCUAAGGCAUGCAAGUCGAACGAGUUCAUUUUUGUAGCAAUACAAAAGUGGGCUAGUGGCAAACGGGUGCGUAACACAUUGGUAACCUACCUCCCAGUCGGGUAUAACCCACCGAAAGGUGGACUAAUUCCACGAUGGUGUCCAGCCUUAAAACUGGACUAAAGCGCAAAACGCGCUGGGAGAGGGGCCUAUGGCCUAUCAGCUUGUUGGUGAGGUAACGGCNCACCAAGGCUAUGACGGGUA
rnacentral:rRNA from 1 species